rnacentral:snoRNA from 10 species
CCCUCUUACAAAGGCGCACUUGCAUUGUUCUGCUUGCCUGUGCGUAAGAAAUAGAGGAAAAUUAACAUGAAUGGUUAGUUUAUUCAAUCGCCGGCUACAUUCCGGUUGGUUACCUAAACAUUCAGACAUGC